UCCAGAGCUUGAUAGGGACGAGGACGUAUACCUCAGGCAGUUUCCUCAUCUUCCCGAGGCUGGAGCCGAGUGGAUCGGGUCGGGUUUCUCUCAGCCGAUUGUGGAGGUCUUCGGCAGCAAGGUAUUGAGUGGCUUGCUGGGAAGGGGAUCGAUCACAACCUCCAGCAGCUGUUCAUCAUCCGAGACUCAUGGGAGCUCUGUUCGUGAAUUUUGGCAGUGGCUCACUGUGAGGAGUCCGGCCACAA